AAUAUUGGGCAAUGGGGGAAACCCUGACCCAGCAACGCCGCGUGAAGGAAGAAGGCUUUCGGGUUGUAAACUUCUUUGACGAGGGAAGAAAGAAAUGACGGUACCUCGAAAACAAGCCACGGCUAACUACGUGACAGCAGCCGCGGUAAUACGUAGGUGGCAAGCGUUGUCCGGAUUUACUGGGUGUAAAGGGCGCGUAGGCGGGAGAACAAGUCAGAUGUGAAAUGUGGGGGCUUAACCCUCAAGCUGCAUUUGAAACUGUACUUCUUGAGUAUCGGAGAGGCAGGCGGAAUUCCUAGUGUAGCGGUGAAAUGCGUAGAUAUUAGGAGGAACACCAGUGGCGAAGGCGGCCUGCUGGACGACAACUGACGCUGAGGCGCGAAAGCGUGGGGAGCAAACAGG
rnacentral:rRNA from 1 species